UCUCUUUUCUUUCUUCUUUUUCUCACCCGCACAGCCCAUGUGCACGCCCAUUUCAUUUUCUUCUUCUCCCUUUCUUCUUUCUUCUUCUUUGUUCUGCUGCGUGAGUGACCCACAGAGAGAUUGAGAGUGAGAGAGAGACCGAGUAAGAGGGGGAGAUUCUGAGAGAUUGGGGGAGGGAAGAGAGACAGAGAGCGUGAGAUAGAGGGAGACCGAGAGAUGCUGAGAGAGAUGAGUUCGGGAGAGCUGAGGGAGAUGGAGUCCGAUCCUCCGAUGGGUGGCGCCGUCGAGACCAGAGGACGCCGGCGACGCGAUCUCCGGUGAGCCCGUGAACCAGAGAUGACCCGGGAGAGAGAGAGAACCCGAAACCCGUAGAACCCGUGACCCACGACUCGGGAGGACCCGAUCCUCCAUGAUCGGCGACUGGGACUGAAAUCCGGCUGUCCCUUUAGCAGUUUCCGGCGAAGACCUGUGAGCUUAGAAGACUCGUAGUCUAGACCGGCAACCUGUGAGCCCAGAAAACCCGAGACCCGUAGCAGACCCGAGCUGAACCCAACUAUUCCCGGUGGAUUUCUGGUUGUUGGAGGAGCGGCUUAUGGAGCUGUGGUGGUCGGACCACCGUUGUACUGUGGAGGCAGUGGCUGGAGCAAGGGAUUUUGGCCCCUGUUUUGGAUUGUGUUGUAAUUGGAGACUUCAAUGGUUCUCCAAGGUAGAGUUCGAGUAAUUGGAAUCCAGUGGGAGUUCGAGUCAGGAGUCUAAUGCAGCCAAGAUGAUGUUUCUUUGGCUGCAGGUACUACGGUAUAGUUGAUGGGUCGGUAGCAGUGUGCUUGGGAUAUUAUGACUGAAGCUCGCCGCGACAGUUGUAAUUGUCGGACCACGGGUUGUCCACUAUUUUAUAGGUUUGGUAUGGUCUGUGACGUUUGUGUCAUUUAUUCUUUGUUAAGCCAUUAUUGUUAUAGUGUUAAUAAGACUCAAACAAAUAGAUGUUAAAUGGCUCUUUGUUGUAAUUAAUUUGUGAUAGAUGUAUAAGUUAUAAUUUCCGCUAUUCAGAUUUAUGUUUUCCGCUGCAUAGAUAGAUGUAUGUUAUACUCUGAUUAUCAGGUACAUGUUAUGGGGCAUGUGCCAUAUGUUGGCUGAGCGACACGUAGUCGUGCCACUGCGAUGACUCGUUUUAUGUUUGUAUAUAAAAAAAAAAAAAAAAAAAAAAAACGGGUCAUCA